CGGACUCGGGCUGAUAAUUCUGAUGAGCUGUCGGACACGGGUCGGGAUAGGGCCUGUGCGUCUCGGGCCAGGGGCCUCAUUUAUAAAACUGCGUAGGAUCCUUACUAAAACUCUACGUAUGCACAAAAGCCAAAAAUAGCAUACGUAAAAAAAAUUCAGAUUUAUAAAACCAUGCGUACGCACACCUGCACGCAAUUUUCACUUUGUAAAUCACAGCCUACCUGAUAAUUUGCGCGCACAAAAAAAUCAUUUACCACCCUUUAUCCACCCACAUUCAACCAUAUAUAGACAAUGCAAAUUACCUCAUUGGCCAUGCAUAUUAAAAGGAGCAAGGAAAUUUGUGUUUUUUAAAAACAAAAUCAUGGCAGCAAUGGAGAGCAAGGGCAAGAAGCUAAAUUUCUCUGAGGCAGAAAUAGAGGUUUUUGUGAGUGAGGUGGAUGACAGGAAGGCUAUUUUGUUUGGUGGCCACAGCAGUGGAAUUACCAAUAAAAAAAACAUUUAGAGUGGCAACACAUCACUGCUGCGGUAAACGCAGUUGCUUCGGCAAACAGGACGGUUCCAGAUGUAAAAAAGAAGUGGUCCGAUCUUAAGGUGGGAGCAAAGAAACGGCUUGCCUCUCACCGACAGAGUGUGUGUGCGACUGGUGGGGGCAAAGGUGCCCCCCGAUUUGUCCCCAAUGGAGACCCGAAUGGCCUCGAUUCUCGGCCAAACCAGUGUGUGUGGCAUUGUGUCUGAGAGGGAGGGAGACACAGAUGUGCUGGAUACAGGGGAACCAGUCCUUAUUCUUGCAGAGUCUGCGGGAGACCAGUGUGACGAAACUCCCAGCGCAGAGUCUGCAGGGGCAAUGGAGUUUCCCGAGGUCCCCAGCACAAGUGCGUCCCGACCUUAUGGCACGGCGGGAAGUGGCCUGGUGCUGACUGAGGCUGUUCUGCAGACACAGAGAGACACCAUUAAUGCAAUUACUGUAAUCGCAGAUGAGCUUAAGCAAAUAAGGGUUGUGCUGGGUGACAUUGCAUCUACAUUAAAAGAUCUUGUUAAAAAAUGAACCUUUGCACUGUUGUUCUUCACAAAUGGCGCAUUACUUCCUGACGGAGCCUUGCUCCCUGAUGAUGUCCUUCUUGUUGGGGAGGGGGUGUGGGUCAGGCUCUUCAUGCUGGUGUUGUGGUAGGUCGGGAGGAACAGGGAUACCAUCCAUCAAUGCAAUGUUGUGUAAAAUAGCGCAUACCAUGAUGAUCUGGCAUACUUUUUUUGGUUGAUAUAAAAGUCUACCGCCCGAAGCAUCAAGUCAACGCCAUCUACACUUGAGGAGGCCAGUGGCUCUCUCAACUACUGAGCGCGCACGAGCGUGGGUAUCAUUAAAGCGCACUUCUUCUGCGCUCUGAGGGUUUGAGAAUGGGGUGAGUAGCCAGCGCCUGAGUGGGUAACCGCUGUCACCUGUAAAGUAUAACAGAUUAUUUGUACAAUAGGCUUUAACUGUUAUAUAAAAAAAUUAUAUGCAUUUACUUACCCAGAAGCCAGCCAUCGCGAACGGCACCUGCCCUACGUCAAUUCCCUACACUGCUGUGCGCUAGAAUAAAAGAGUCAUGUGUAGAACCAGGCCAUCGUGCCACAACAUUCCUUAGAGUCAAGUUGGCGUCACAUAUAAUUUGCACAUUUAUUGAAUGCACAUGUUUGCGAUUCACAUAAAUGAAUUCAUCUACAUAUGGAGCCCUUAUAGCAAUAUGAGUGCAGUCGAUUGCGCCGAUUGCAUUUGGGAAACCGGACAUUGCUGCAAAUUGCCUUUUGAUAUUGGCCUGUUUUCCAACAGUGUAAGGAAACUUUAUGUAUCGAUUGGUCAUUUGAAUAAUCCCUUUCAAAACUGCAGGCAUUAAUGAGCUUAGGCAUGGCUGUGAAAUCCCAGACCUAUGACAAAUUAAUAGGAAUGUUAAAAUCAAUAAGGUUUUGCAUUAAAAAAAAAAAGUACACUUAGUUACCUGUCGCCUAUUUCCCGCUGAUAUGUCCCGGUUGCCAAAAAUCCUAAAACUGAAAGUACUUGGGUUGGUACCGGGAUGGCGCGGUUCCGUGUUGUUGGUCUUUGUAAUGCUGGGCCAAGUUCAGCACACAGAUCCAAGAGCAUGGCUCUAGGAAAUCUAAAGCGGCUUAUUAGCCACUCAUCAUCAUGGGCUAGGAAAUCCUCACGGUCCCUGAAUACUCUUUCCCUCUGAAGUCUGCCAUUGGCAUAGUCUUCCAGCAGUGCCAGCGCAUCCAUCAUACAAUAUGCACUUAAGUGUUGCUGCAGUAGGCUAUUUAUGUUUUCAGCUAUCAGAUUUAAUCAUUUACACCUUAUCACAUUAAUCACAUAAUGAGUGAUAGGCCUACAUCCAUUUAAGAUAUAUACAUAUGGUUCCUUUUAUGUCUUUAAACUAAACAUGCAUGUAUGUAUCUUUAGGACCCAUAAUGGUGAUUUAAUGUUAUUUGUAUUUUCUGUUGUAACCGGGACCUAUGAGCAACUUGUAAAUAUUGUAAAUAUUGAAAUAUGUCAAAGUAAAUUUUGCCAUUUUGCAAAGGGUUAAUUCCCUUUAUCCGCAGUCAGUUCCUCAACUCACCAUCAGUGUCGCCAAACUGCUUUGUCUUCAAAAUAUGCGUACGCAUGGGUCAGAGUUUGCGUGUAGGUGCGCAUAUUUUCACGUCAAGUUUUUCUUUAUAAAUCCCACCUUUUGCGCAGGAACUGGCAUACGCACGUUUUUAGCCCUGUUUUGUGCGUACGCAAGCUUUAUAAAUGAGGCCCCAGGGCCGGGCUCGGGCCUAGAUUUGAGGCCCGUGCAGGGCUCUAACACCAACGACUGCACCUCUAAAGACCCCUCUGUCAAGCUCCUGAAGUUUGCAGAUGACACUACAGUCAUCAGCCUCAUCCAGGACGGUGAUGAGUCUGCUUACAGAUAAGAGGUUGAGCAGCUGGCUGUCUGGUGCAGUCUUAACAACCUGGAGCUGAACAUUCUCAAAACAGUGGAGAUGAUUGUGGACUUUAGGAGAACACCCCCCCCCCCCCCUGCACUUUCCCCACUCACCAUCAUGAACAGCACUGUGGCUGCAGUGGAGUCAUUCAGAUUCAUGGGAACCACCAUCUCUCAGGACCUGAAGUGGGACAAUCACAUUGACUCCAUUGUGAAAAAAGCCCAACAAAGGUUGUACUUCCUUCGCCAGCUGAGGAAGUUUAACCUGCCACAGGAGCUGUUGAAACAGUUCUACUCAGCCAUCAUUGAGUCUGUACUGUGUACUUCAAUAACUGUCUGGUUUGGUUCAGCAACAAAAUCAGACAUCAGAAGACUACAGAGAACUGUUCGGACUGCCUAAAUGAUUAUUGGCGCUCCUCUGCCCACCCUUCAAGAACUGUAUACAUCCAGAGUGAGGAAAAGGGCUCAGAAAAUCACUCUGGAUCCCUCACAUCCAAGUCACCCCAUCUUUGAACUUUUGCCAUCUGGCCGGCCGCAAAUACCAGAAAAGCAUGGCACAAGAAUAGUUUCUUCCCCCAGGCAAUCUACCUCAUGAACAGUUAAAUGUUCCCUACUUAUGCUUAUAAAUGUGCAAUAUCCUUAUAUUUAUUUGUUAACCCUCCAUCCUAGAACAUUCCUGCAUCUCACUCAAUCCUAUUCCAUUAUCAUUUAUAGCAUAAAUGUUUAUACACUUAUUUGCCAAUUUGUAAUUCUCCUUUUUCUGUCUGUGGGUUGUUGUCUCUGUGUACUGGAAGCUUAUGUCACUAAAACAAAUUCCUUGUAUGCGCAAGCAUACUUGGCAAUAAAGCUCUUUCUGAUUCUGAUUCUGAAGCCGAAAAGCUGAUGUCCUGCUCCAAAUGCAGUAGUCCAUGACUACCCUCUUCCUUGGGCAAAUACAAAACAGCUUUUGGAGCCCAGUGCAGUUUAUCCCCCAAAAAAAUGAAUCAGAAUUGACUGAAUUUUGAAAAAGAAGUUUGAUGGAGGAUCAACACACAUUAACCGAUGCCAUAGAGAAGACGCUAGCAA
rnacentral:lncRNA from 1 species